rnacentral:lncRNA from 1 species
UACCAUGCAAAAAAAAGAUACUUUUAACAAAAAUGAUUGCUGAUAAAGUACUGGGAAUAAACUAAGUGUUCCAUAGGUAAAGCCGGUUGACAUACCCUACUGGCCAAAGGUAACACAACGAACAUCAUCUCUACAAUAUGAAAAUGGAACUACAUUGACUAUAAUUAUAAUAAAUAAGACCUCAAGGCGUUACUCCCUCCAUUCCACUUUCUUAGGCAUAGAAAACCAAUCUCAGGGACGAACUACCAAGACCCGAGGAGAGAAAGACCGGUUGGAUAGAUAGUAGUAAUUCGAUCCAAAUUGUGUCAAAUCCUCGACUCCAACGCCUCGUUUGGCCUCAGAGAUGUGCACACUGCUCUCGGUCAGCCAUUCCUGCAUUCCAAUGAAAUUAACAGCAAGCAUUCAUAUAGUCUCUGUGGCUUGACUUGCUGCUGCAACAUAUUGGUGAAGGUAGCUAGGAUACAUUCUUUUGUAGUUGCUUUGUCUGCCUCAUAGCCUGAUAAUGAGCAGCAAGCAUACAUUUAUUUUAUGUUCAGCAUCAGAACAAAACAAUUGAUGGAAAAAAUACAACAAAUUUUGCUCUGUCAAUGUCGCCGAGAUUGUCUUGCACUGUAAACGUACUUGGCUAGGUCCAUGUGAUGUGCGCUCAGCUGUUGUAGCUGUUGGCUGUAGUUGUAGAUUGGCUGUUGUUGUAGUACAAUUUAGCUUAGCAUUUUGACUGUUUUGUGAUAUGAAUGUAAUCAUGAUUUUGGAAGCAAUACCAAAAAGAAGAAAAAAGGUGUCUACUGAUUUGGAGUGUCCAUAUCUAACCUGAAGGGUGUAAUCUUCAGUUCUGUUUCUACCAGGGACAGGAAAAUAUUUUCUGAAGUUCCCUUGCUUAGUAAUGUUGAAUGUUGUCUUAUGAUUUGGACUGUCAAAUUCAGUUCUCUAAACUGGAAAGCUCCAGGGGAGAAAUUCCUAUGCCAUUUAACACACACAAAAACAAACAGAAGGUCUGUACUCAUCAAUUGAAAUGAGGUUAGUAGAGGCAUUGUUGUAAAAUUUCAGCAAAGAAAGGAAGCAAGGCAUCAUGAUUAUCAGUCAAACAUGUGUAUGACUUGUCCAAAAACAAAAAACACAUAUACCUUCACAGUUGCGUGUGUGUGUGUCUGUGUACGGAAUAAUUUUCAGUAACAAAGGAAAAUAAGAAUAAUGUUCAGAUUAGACUGCACCAAGUAACACAUCACUUCGAAAUUGCUUGAACAAUUUUGUUUACCAACCAGCAUGCAAUGUUUAUAAUCUGUCCAUCGGAAGCAUGAAAUAAGAAAGUGACUUCAGUACAAUUUUCAGGAAAGAAGCAAGAUAAUUUAUUGCGCCUUGUGUAUCUUUAAGAAAAAUAAUUUGAGAGGGAUAGAGAGGCUACUUACAGAACGUCAGGGCACAUCAAAGCUAAAAAUCAUGGGGGACAGCUUGUUUCCUGUCAACCCAAGAUAUGGUAAAAUGAAGAUAUCCACAUGCAUAAGUUUUCCUGGAUGUUAAAUGAUAAAUUUAGUAGCUUCAUAACAUUUUAACACAUCAAAAUAUGACACACGGCACUGAAAACACAACAAAGUUGUAAUACAUCAAAGACACUUACUUUGGGAUGGAGGGAGUAUAUUGGAGAAACAUGACGACUUCUUUUCUACUGCGUCUAUCCUAAAUGAGAAGAAACAGAUCAGUUUCGUACAUAGUAAAAGUGAUUUGCUAAUCUAAAUUGCAAAAACCUGAGGGAAGUCUGUAUCCAAUUCCAUGAUACUCUUUCUGGUCAGGUAAUCCAGUAUCUGCCAACUACUAUUCUCUCAACCACAUCUUGAACACCACGCCCUUGUCUGAUUUUAGAGUUUAAACUCUAGCAUCAACAUAUUAUCCCUAUUAGAAAUGGAUAUAAUCAAUCGUACAAUAAACACACACAAAACAGAAAAUAAUAUGGG